rnacentral:lncRNA from 1 species
CUCUAGCGCUUUACAGCUAAAUGUUAGUCUAUGAAUGUAAUAUAACAGUGGUUUAAAAUCAACAGAUUGUAACAAAAGUCCCUCACAGGAGACAAAGCUUGUGCCGUGAUCUCUAUUGCAUUAAUGAGACAAAUGAGGAUAGGAAACAUCAUGUGGCUUCCCAGGGCUCCAUGGCAGGGGCGUGGCAGGGGGGAUUUGAGUCCAGGCUCCUACUCCAGUACUGACCUUACCCGUCACUUUCCUGCUGCCCAGUGUGAGCUCUGCCCUGUCCAGAGUCAUGAGUAUUAGAGCACAUGGAUGUCUUAUAGAUGAUCUUGUCCAAGUCAUUCAUUUUAGAAGAGCUGAUGGAACUUCAGAGAGGUUAAAUUCACCUGUUGCAGGUCACCUAUCUCCUUAGUGACAAGUUUGAGAUUACAGCCCAACUUCAAGUCACGCUGACUCUUGUGAUUAUAAGUGAAAUCAUACUUGGCCACUCAUUCUGAGCAAGAUGCCCGUUUCUGAAAUUAGUCUCUAGAGUACCAACUUUUCAAGAGAAAAGAUGUUACCUUACUUACCUUCAAGAGCAAAGCCUUUCCCAUGUUUCAUAAGUGUUUCUUGGCAGCCUAACUGACUCAGUGACUGAUUAAAGGAAAGACUGAAGGA